GGGUACCACCCAUUCAACAGAUAUUCUGCCGCUAAGCAGCAGUACUUAGUAUUGUUGCGUUGCAGUUUGAAGGUACCAAGGAUGGUGAAGCAUUGGCGAUGUAAGAAUACACAGCUUGCCUUGCAGACAACAAAUAACAACAGCCAUCAAGAGAUGUAUCCAAAUAGCCCUGACUGAUUUUGUCUUC